UCUUAAUUGGGCGUUAAGUUGCAGGGUAUAGACCCGAAACCCGGUGAUCUAGCCAUGGGCAGGUUGAAGGUUGGGUAACACUAACUGGAGGACCGAACCGACUAAUGUUGAAAAAUUAGCGGAUGACCUGUGGCUGGGGGUGAAAGGCCAAUCAAACCGGGAGAUAGCUGGUUCUCCCCGAAAGCUAUUUAGGUAGCGCCUCGUGAAUUCAUCUCCGGGGGUAGAGCACUGUUUCGGCUAGGGGGCCAUCCCGGCUUACCAACCCGAUGCAAACUGCGAAUACCGGAGAAUGUUAUCACGGGAGACACACGGCGGGUGCUAACGUCCGUCGUGAAGAGGGAAACAACCCAGACCGCCAGCUAAGGUCCCAAAGUCAUGGUUAAGUGGGAAACGAUGUGGGAAGGCCCAGACAGCCAGGAUGUUGGCUUAGAAGCAGCCAUCAUUUAAAGAAAGCGUAAUAGCUCACUGGUCGAGUCGGCCUGCGCGGAAGAUGUAACGGGGCUAAACCAUGCACCGAAGCUGCGGCAGCGACACUGUGUGUUGUUGGGUAGGGGAGCGUUCUGUAAGCCUGUGAAGGUGUGUCGUGAGGCAUGCUGGAGGUAUCAGAAGUGCGAAUGCUGACAUAAGUAACGAUAAAGCGGGUGAAAAGCCCGCUCGCCGGAAGACCAAGGGUUCCUGUCCAACGUUAAUCGGGGCAGGGUGAGUCGACCCCUAAGGCGAGGCCGAAAGGCGUAGUCGAUGGGAAACGGGUUAAUAUUCCCGUACUUGGUGUUACUGCGAAGGGGGGACGGAGAAGGCUAUGUUGGCCGGGCGACGGUUGUCCCGGUUUAAGCGUGUAGGUGUGUGUUCCAGGUAAAUCCGGUUCACUUUAACACUGAGGCGUGACGACGAGGCACUACGGUGCUGAAGCAACAAAUGCCCUGCUUCCAGGAAAAGCCUCUAAGCAUCAGGUAACAUCAAAUCGUACCCCAAACCGACACAGGUGGUCAGGUAGAGAAUACCAAGGCGCUUGAGAGAACUCGGGUGAAGGAACUAGGCAAAAUGGUGCCGUAACUUCGGGAGAAGGCACGCUGACACGUAGGUGAAGUGAUUUACUCAUGGAGCUGAAGUCAGUCGAAGAUACCAGCUGGCUGCAACUGUUUAUUAAAAACACAGCACUGUGCAAACACGAAAGUGGACGUAUACGGUGUGACGCCUGCCCGGUGCCGGAAGGUUAAUUGAUGGGGUCAGCGCAAGCGAAGCUCCUGAUCGAAGCCCCGGUAAACGGCGGCCGUAACUAUAACGGUCCUAAGGUAGCGAAAUUCCUUGUCGGGUAAGUUCCGACCUGCACGAAUGGCGUAAUGAUGGCCAGGCUGUCUCCACCCGAGACUCAGUGAAAUUGAACUCGCUGUGAAGAUGCAGUGUACCCGCGGCAAGACGGAAAGACCCCGUGAACCUUUACUAUAGCUUGACACUGAACAUUGAGCCUUGAUGUGUAGGAUAGGUGGGAGGCUUUGAAGUGUGGACGCCAGUCUGCAUGGAGCCGACCUUGAAAUACCACCCUUUAAUGUUUGAUGUUCUAACGUGGACCCGUUACCCGGGUUGCGGACAGUGUCUGGUGGGUAGUUUGACUGGGGCGGUCUCCUCCUAAAGAGUAACGGAGGAGCACGAAGGUUGGCUAA
rnacentral:rRNA from 1 species